rnacentral:rRNA from 1 species
GUGUGACUGCGUACCUUUUGUAUAAUGGGUCAGCGACUUAUAUUCUGUAGCAAGGUUAACCGAAUAGGGGAGCCGAAGGGAAACCGAGUCUUAACUGGGCGUUAAGUUGCAGGGUAUAGACCCGAAACCCGGUGAUCUAGCCAUGGGCAGGUUGAAGGUUGGGUAACACUAACUGGAGGACCGAACCGACUAAUGUUGAAAAAUUAGCGGAUGACUUGUGGCUGGGGGUGAAAGGCCAAUCAAACCGGGAGAUAGCUGGUUCUCCCCGAAAGCUAUUUAGGUAGCGCCUCGUGAAUUCAUCUCCGGGGGUAGAGCACUGUUUCGGCAAGGGGGUCAUCCCGACUUACCAACCCGAUGCAAACUGCGAAUACCGGAGAAUGUUAUCACGGGAGACACACGGCGGGUGCUAACGUCCGUCGUGAAGAGGGAAACAACCCAGACCGCCAGCUAAGGUCCCAAAGUCAUGGUUAAGUGGGAAACGAUGUGGGAAGGCCCAGACAGCCAGGAUGUUGGCUUAGAAGCAGCCAUCAUUUAAAGAAAGCGUAAUAGCUCACUGGUCGAGUCGGCCUGCGCGGAAGAUGUAACGGGGCUAAACCAUGCACCGAAGCUGCGGCAGCGACGCUGAUGCGUUGUUGGGUAGGGGAGCGUUCUGUAAGCCUGUGAAGGUGUGCUGUGAGGCAUGCUGGAGGUAUCAGAAGUGCGAAUGCUGACAUAAGUAACGAUAAAGCGGGUGAAAAGCCCGCUCGCCGGAAGACCAAGGGUUCCUGUCCAACGUUAAUCGGGGCAGGGUGAGUCGACCCCUAAGGCGAGGCCGAAAGGCGUAGUCGAUGGGAAACAGGUUAAUAUUCCUGUACUUGGUGUUACUGCGAAGGGGGGACGGAGAAGGCUAUGUUGGCCGGGCGACGGUUGUCCCGGUUUAAGCGUGUAGGCUGGUUUUCCAGGCAAAUCCGGAAAAUCAAGGCUGAGGCGUGAUGACGAGGCACUACGGUGCUGAAGCAACAAAUGCCCUGCUUCCAGGAAAAGCCUCUAAGCAUCAGGUAACAUCAAAUCGUACCCCAAACCGACACAGGUGGUCAGGUAGAGAAUACCAAGGCGCUUGAGAGAACUCGGGUGAAGGAACUAGGCAAAAUGGUGCCGUAACUUCGGGAGAAGGCACGCUGAUAUGUAGGUGAAGUCCCUCGCGGAUGGAGCUGAAAUCAGUCGAAGAUACCAGCUGGCUGCAACUGUUUAUUAAAAACACAGCACUGUGCAAACACGAAAGUGGACGUAUACGGUGUGACGCCUGCCCGGUGCCGGAAGGUUAAUUGAUGGGGUUAGCGCAAGCGAAGCUCUUGAUCGAAGCCCCGGUAAACGGCGGCCGUAACUAUAACGGUCCUAAGGUAGCGAAAUUCCUUGUCGGGUAAGUUCCGACCUGCACGAAUGGCGUAAUGAUGGCCAGGCUGUCUCCACCCGAGACUCAGUGAAAUUGAACUCGCUGUGAAGAUGCAGUGUACCCGCGGCAAGACGGAAAGACCCCGUGAACCUUUACUAUAGCUUGACACUGAACAUUGAGCCUUGAUGUGUAGGAUAGGUGGGAGGCUUUGAAGUGUGGACGCCAGUCUGCAUGGAGCCGACCUUGAAAUACCACCCUUUAAUGUUUGAUGUUCUAACGUUGACCCGUAAUCCGGGUUGCGGACAGUGUCUGGUGGGUAGUUUGACUGGGGCGGUCUCCUCCUAAAGAGUAACGGAGGAGCACGAAGGUUGGCUAAUCCUGGUCGGACAUCAGGAGGUUAGUGCAAUGGCAUAAGCCAGCUUGACUGCGAGCGUGACGGCGCGAGCAGGUGCGAAAGCAGGUCAUAGUGAUCCGGUGGUUCUGAAUGGAAGGGCCAUCGCUCAACGGAUAAAAGGUACUCCGGGGAUAACAGGCUGAUACCGCCCAAGAGUUCAUAUCGACGGCGGUGUUUGGCACCUCGAUGUCGGCUCAUCACAUCCUGGGGCUGAAGUAGGUCCCAAGGGUAUGGCUGUUCGCCAUUUAAAGUGGUACGCGAGCUGGGUUUAGAACGUCGUGAGACAGUUCGGUCCCUAUCUGCCGUGGGCGCUGGAGAACUGAGGGGGGCUGCUCCUAGUACGAGAGGACCGGAGUGGACGCAUCACUGGUGUUCGGGUUGUCAUGCCAAUGGCACUGCCCGGUAGCUAAAUGCGGAAGAGAUAAGUGCUGAAAGCAUCUAAGCACGAAACUUGCCCCGAGAUGAGUUCUCCCUGACUCCUUGA